GUCCGCCUCCUCCGCGAGUCUGCCCCGCCGCUCGCACAAAAUCGGCUGUUCCCCGCUGGACACAAAUCGGCACCGCUUCCCCGUCUCGCGCUCCUCCUCGCGCCGCCGUCCUGCUCGCGGCGUCCUCGCCCUCCCCGUCUCGCUCGCCGACGCCUCCGAUCCCGCGUCGCCCUAGCCCUCCCCCUCCCCGUCUCGCUCGCCGACGCCGCCGCUCCCGCGGACGCCGCCGCCACGCCCUCGCUGCCCUCGCCUCCCCGUCGCGUCCGUCUCGCCGUCCUGCUCGCGGCGUCCUCGCUCUCCCCGUCUCACUCGCGGACGCCGCCGAUCCCGCGUCGCCCUCGCCCUCCCCGUCUCGCUCGGCGUCGCCGACCCUCUCGCGCGCUAUGGCCCACUGGAUCUAUGCGCGCGGCGCCUCCAAGGUCCUCUACCGCAUUCGGGGCACAUCUAUGGAAGUUCAGGUAAGCUCUCAUAAGCAGGCUCCUAAUUGCUUCAAAUAAUGGUGAGUUAGGUACGUGUACAUUUGCAGUUACAAAUAAUUUUCACAUUUUAGAAGUUACAACUGCCUUCAAGUUUGUGGAUCAGGUUUAGAGCAUUCCUGGUGGCUACUGGGUUGAAGAUGAGGUGAUCUUAUACAUGGUAACUAAUGCACAAACUUGCUUGACAUAGGCUCUGAUUCUGAUGCUAAAUGGGAAUUUUUGGACUAGACUAGAAACAAGAACAUCAGGUUAGGUUUCUGCAUUAGAAAGAAGCUCGAUACCUACAUAUCAGGUAAUACAUUAUUUUAAUUAUCCAUUUUGAGUGUUUGUCCCGCUGAAUUUGAAUGCAAAAUUACAAUAACCUCUUCAUAGACUAAAUAUGUUCAACUAGAAUAUUUUUGAAAUAUGAGUCACCGCAAACUUAUAUUGUGUCACACUUGAUAUGAGAGAGUGAUGGCGUAUCUGAAUUGUUUAUCACAGAAACUGUGAAGGAAAAAAAUGGCAUUUCUGAAAUGAGCUACGCUUGGGUGUUGAUAUUUUUUAUUUCAUUGGGAAAUAAGAGGACUUUUCUGUGCAUUUUCAUCCAAACUCAAAUAUCCCAUUGUAAUGUACAACAAAAAAAACAAAAGGUGUGUAUAUAUGCCACCAAGCACUAUAUAAUAUAUGCAUUAAUGUUAGUUGGAUUUGUGUUUGCUAUAUCCUAUAUGACAGCUGAAUGAACUAGACAGAUACACUUAAUGGUAACUCGGUAAGUGUUUGGUUUUUGUCAAACUAAGAAAACUCAUACUGAACUAACUCAACGUUUAAAUUGCUGAAAACCAGCAAUCAUUCAAAUAAGUCAGCUUGAAUAAUCUUUGCACUUACAUAUCCAGGUUCACAUGAUUUGCAUAUUCAAACAAGUGUACACAAUUGUAGUGGUGGAUUCGGUGAUCUGUUAGAGCCGGACGCCCGGACCAUGUGAUUCGAAUAUCUAGAGGAUUGGAGCUUCUGUUAGCCAUUAGUCACUGUUGUAACUUGUAAGAUUUUAAGUUGUAAGUCUAAUAUGGAGGAAGAAGAGUACUUGUGUAUCUGCGUCUCACAAUCAAGUUAGUUAUAUUUUAUUGAUUUGAGUGUUUACAGGUUUAUUUCAUUGGAAAUAAGGGGUCUUUAAUGUACAUUUUCAUUCAACCACAAUUGACAGAACUCUAAUUUCUGUCUUAUGCGAAACACUGAAUUACUUUGGAACAA